AACGAACGCUGGCGGCGUGGAUAAGACAUGCAAGUCGAACGAGAACUUUCGCUGUAGCAAUACAGUGGAAGUUCUAGUGGCGAACGGGUGCGUAACACGUGGGCAAUCUGCCUUAAAGUGGGGGAUAGCUCGGCGAAAGCCGGAUUAAUACCGCAUGUGAUUACCGGAGACAUCUUCGGAACAUCAAAGUCGGGGCAACCUGACGCUUUUUGAGGAGCCCGCGGCCUAUCAGCUUGUUGGUGAGGUAACGGCUCACCAAGGCGUUGACGGGUAGGUAGUCUGAGAGGACGACCAGUCACACUGGAACUGAGACACGGUCCAGACACCUACGGGUGGCAGCAGUCGAGAAUUUUUCUCAAUGGGGGAAACCCUGAAGGAGCGACGCCGCGUGGAGGAUGAAGGUCUUCGGGUUGUAAACUCCUGUCAUUUGGGAACAAUGCUUACGUAUUAACUGUACGUGAGUUGAUAGUACCAGAAGAGGAAGAGACGGCUAACUCUGUGCCAGCCGCCGCCGUAA
rnacentral:rRNA from 1 species